rnacentral:rRNA from 1 species
GAUGAACGCUGGCGGCGUGCCUAAUACAUGCAAGUCGAGCGAACAGACGAGGAGCUUGCUCCUCUGACGUUAGCGGCGGACGGGUGAGUAACACGUGGAUAACCUACCUAUAAGACUGGGAUAACUUCGGGAAACCGGAGCUAAUACCGGAUAAUAUAUUGAACCGCAUGGUUCAAUAGUGAAAGACGGUUUUGCUGUCACUUAUAGAUGGAUCCGCGCCGCAUUAGCUAGUUGGUAAGGUAACGGCUUACCAAGGCAACGAUGCGUAGCCGACCUGAGAGGGUGAUCAGCCACACUGGAACUGAGACACGGUCCAGACUCCUACGGGAGGCAGCAGUAGGGAAUCUUCCGCAAAGGGCGAAAGCUUGACGGAGCAACGCCGCGUGAGUGAUGAAGGUCUUCGGAUCGUAAAACUCUGUUAUUAGGGAAGAACAAAUGUGUAAGUAACUAUGCACGUCUUGACGGUACCUAAUCAGAAAGCCACGGCUAACUACGUG